UUCCCAGCAACUCCUAUCCCUACCUCCUCGUGGUACUGUGCCGGCCGGGGUACGAGUAUCCUUAGAGAAGAUCGGGUAACCAACCCCCGGUGGGAACUUUGGUCGUAUGCUGACAGGGAAGG
rnacentral:ribozyme from 1 species